UACGUAGGGCGCAAGCGUUGUCCGGAAUUAUUGGGCGUAAAGAGCUCGUAGGUGGUUUGUCGCGUCUGCUGUGAAAACCCGAGGCUCAACCUCGGGCCUGCAGUGGGUACGGGCAGACUAGAGUGCGGUAGGGGAGACUGGAAUUCCUGGUGUAGCGGUGGAAUGCGCAGAUAUCAGGAGGAACACCGAUGGCGAAGGCAGGUCUCUGGGCCGCAACUGACACUGAGGAGCGAAAGCAUGGGGAGCGAACAGG
rnacentral:rRNA from 2 species